UCACACCAUGGGAGUGGGGGAUACCAGAAGUAGGUAGGGUAACCGCAAGGAGCCCGCUUACCACGGUAUGCUUCAUGACUGGGGUGAAGUCGUAACAAGGUAGCCGUAGGGGAACCUGCGGCUGGAUUACCUCCUUU
rnacentral:rRNA from 1 species